AGAGUUUGAUCAUGGCUCAGGAUGAACGCUGGCGGCGUGCUUAACACAUGCAAGUCGAACGGGACUUGCAGGACGGAAUCCUCGGAGGAAGACCUGUAAGUCUAGUGGCGGACGGGUGAGUAACGCGUGGGUAACCUGCCUCAUACAGGGGGAUAACAGUCAGAAAUGGCUGCUAAUACCGCAUAAGCGCACAGGACCGCAUGGUCCGGUGUGAAAAACUCCGGUGGUAUGAGAUGGACCCGCGUUGGAUUAGCUGGUUGGCGGGGUAACGGCCCACCAAGGCGACGAUCCAUAGCCGGCCUGAGAGGGUGAACGGCCACAUUGGGACUGAGACACGGCCCAAACUCCUACGGGAGGCAGCAGUGGGGAAUAUUGCACAAUGGGGGAAACCCUGAUGCAGCGACGCCGCGUGAAGGAAGAAGUAUCUCGGUAUGUAAACUUCUAUCAGCAGGGAAGAAAGUGACGGUACCUGACUAAGAAGCCCCGGCUAACUACGUGCCAGCAGCCGCGGUAAUACGUAGGGGGCAAGCGUUAUCCGGAUUUACUGGGUGUAAAGGGAGCGUAGACGGCACGGCAAGUCUGAUGUGAAAGGCAGGGGCUCAACCCCUGGACUGCAUUGGAAACUGCCGGGCUGGAGUGCCGGAGAGGUAAGCGGAAUUCCUAGUGUAGCGGUGAAAUGCGUAGAUAUUAGGAGGAACACCAGUGGCGAAGGCGGCUUACUGGACGGUAACUGACGUUGAGGCUCGAAAGCGUGGGGAGCAAACAGGAUUAGAUACCCUGGUAGU
rnacentral:rRNA from 1 species